GGCGAAGUAGCCAAGUGGUAAGGCGUGGGUCUGCAACACCCUGAUCACCGGUCCGAAUCCGGUCUUCGCCU
rnacentral:tRNA from 2 species